rnacentral:misc_RNA from 1 species
CUGUAUUAUGGCAUGAAGAUCAUGGAACCCGGCGCCAUCUAGGCAAAGAUAGGGGUUCUGUACCCGGGGCAAUAGCAGGGCCUUCACUGGGAGAAGCAGCACAUCGGUUGCUUAAGAACACAUUGAAUAUCAAACCUGGUGGAACAAAUUUUGGAGUGUUGGAUCAAUCAUUUUCCCGAAAUUUUUCGGGCAACCAUGUUUUGAAUAGGCCAAGGCCAGCUGGACCAUCUUGCUAUGAAGGUGGAUUCUAUGAUCAAAUGAGUCGUAGGAAUUCGUCUCCGAAUCACCGGCCACGGUUUCCUGGACCCUCUGGACAUGCAAGUGGCUUCUUUGAAGACCCUUCUUAUUUCCCUUGCAACCUUAUGCCUCGUGGUGCAUCUGGGAACCCCAGAUAUGCUCCAUCCCCUUAUGAGUUCCAAAACACUAGGCAAAAUUUCAGGAUUCAAGAUAGACAUUCAUAUCAAGAUCAGUAUCAUAGCAUGAGAAAUGAAAUGUCAGUGUUGACAAUCGGAAGUGGUGCAAGAACGAGACCUCCUUCAAAUGCAGCAAGAAUGCCAAAUUCUGGACAACUAUCUAACGUCUGCCCACCACCUCCAUUUACACAAAAUGUGGGUCCUCUUCCUUCACCUCCUCUGCAGUGGAUUAACAAACCUGCAAGAGGAGCUACAGCAAUGCACUCAAAGUAUCAAGAAACUUCAAAAGGGCCCGCGUACGACAAGCAAGUCAAGCAGGUUUACCAAAUCAAAAGCCGGCCAACUCAAGAGUCCCCAAGUACCGAAACACAACAGUAAUAUUUGAGUUAUUUUGAGCUUUGCUGUUCCUUUUGAUAGUCAAUCUCAUAGACAUAGUGAGAGGAUAUCUGGAUCCUCCGGUGAAGUAUUUAUCUAUUCUUCUUAACAUUAUUGAUGCAGUAUAUUAUUAUUGGUUGUAGAGAACAUGGAGUCUGUUCACACUCCCCAUAUAGUCCAGUUUGAGGUCUGGGUAGUAUGUUGUACCAAAUGACUUGAAAAGGUCGAGUAACAGAUUUUGUUGCUUUUUUCUUGUUGACUAUUGGCAAAACAACUUCUGCAUGGCUAUAGG